rnacentral:rRNA from 1 species
ACGGAGGGGGCGAGCGUUAUUCGGAAUUACUGGGCGUAAAGCGCGCGCAGGUGGCGCGGUAAGUGGCUGGUGAAAGCCCUCGGCUCAACCGAGGAACUGCCUGCCAAACUGCUGCGCUUGAGGCCGGGAGGGGAGAGCGGAAUUCCUGGUGUAGCGGUGAAAUGCGUAGAUACCAGGAGGAACACCGGUGGCGAAGGCGGCUCUCUGGACCGGUUCUGACACUCAUGCGCGAAAGCGUGGGGAGCAAACAGGAUUAGAUACCCUGGUAGUCCACGCCCUAAACGAUGGGCACUAGGCGUCGCGGGUGUCGACCCCUGCGGUGCCGUAGCUAACGCGUUAAGUGCCCCGCCUGGGGAGUACGGUCGCAAGGCUG